GACGAACCGAGCGAACGUUAUUCGGAAUCACUGGGCUUAAAGGGUGCGUAGGCGGGCUGUCAAGUCUGGGGUGAAAUCCCACGGCUCACCGUGGAACUGCCUCAGAUACUGAUGGCCUCGAGGAAGGUAGGGGCAUGCGGAACUGUAGGUGGAGCGGUGAAAUGCGUUGAUAUCUACAGGAACUCCGGUGGCGGAAAGCGGCGUGCUGGACCUUUUCUGACGCUGAGGCA
rnacentral:rRNA from 1 species